rnacentral:rRNA from 1 species
UCAGAUCAAGCGCGAAAAGGGCGUUUGGUGGAUGCCUAGGCAGCAAGAGGCGAUGAAGGACGUGAUACCCUGCGUUAAGCUUUGGGGAGCCGGGAAUAGGCUUUGAUCCAGAGAUCUCCGAAUGGGGAAACCCACCUGACAUUCUAUUGUUGUUGCUUCGCGGCGCAAGCUGCGGAGUAGCCAACAGUGGGGUGAGACAGGUACUUUUACCCUGAAUACAUAGGGGUUUAAGAGCAAACCCGGGGAACUGAAACAUCUAAGUACCCGGAGGAAAGGAAAUCAAUAGAGACUCCGUUAGUAGUGGCGAGCGAACGCGGACCAGCCGAGCCUGGAAGAACGAGUGGAAUGGUCUGGAAAGGCCAGCGACAUGGGUGACAGCCCCGUACACGAAGUUCCAAGGGACGUAUCAAGUAGGGCGGGACACGUGAAAUCCUGUCUGAAGAUCGGGGGACCACCCCCGAAGGCUAAGUACUCCUUGCUGACCGAUAGCGAACCAGUACCGUGAGGGAAAGGUGAAAAGCACCCCGACGAGGGGAGUGAAACAGUACCUGAAACCGGACGCCUACAAGCAGUCGGAGGGGCCUUGAGCCCUGACGGCGUACCUUUUGUAUAAUGGGUCAACGACUUGGUCUUACGAGCAAGCUUAAGCCGAUAGGUGUAGGCGCAGCGAAAGCGAGUCUUAAAAGGGCGCAUGAGUUCGUGGGAUCAGACCCGAAACCAGGUGAUCUAGCCAUGAGCAGGAUGAAGGUUGGGUAACACCAACUGGAGGUCCGAACCAACACCCGUUGAAAAGGGUCUGGAUGACUUGUGGCUAGGGGUGAAAGGCUAAUCAAACCUGGAGAUAGCUGGUUCUCCGCGAAAGCUAUUUAGGUAGCGCCUCGACCGAAUACCCUCGGGGGUAGAGCACUGCAUGGAUGAUGGGGGCCCACAGCCUUACUGAGUCUAAGCAAACUCCGAAUACCGAGGAGUACUAGUCGGGAGACACACGGUGGGUGCUAACGUCCAUCGUGAAGAGGGAAACAACCCUGACCUGCAGCUAAGGCCCCUAAUUCGUGGCUAAGUGGGAAAGCAUGUGGGACGGCCAAAACAACCAGGAUGUUGGCUUAGAAGCAGCCAUCCUUUAAAGAUAGCGUAACAGCUCACUGGUCUAAUUAAGAGGUCUUGCGGCGAAGAUGUAACGGGGCUCAAGCCACGAGCCGAAGCUUUGGAUGCACUUUAGAGUGCGUGGUAGCGGAGCGUUCUGUGAUAUAGAACGCUGCCUCUUUAGCCCAGCAAUGGUCUACGGAGGCAAUGUUCUGACUGUGAAGCCGGGCCGUGAGGCAACCGGUGGAGUGAUCAGAAGUGAGAAUGUUGACAUGAGUAGCGACAAACAGGGUGAGAGACCCUGUCGCCGAAAGUCCAAGGGUUCCUGCUUAAAGCUAAUCUGAGCAGGGUAAGCCGGCCCCUAAGGCGAGGCCGAAAGGCGUAGUCGAUGGGAACCAGGUUAAUAU